rnacentral:rRNA from 1 species
GGGAGUAAUUACUACGGCGAGCGAAACCGGGAAAGCCCAACGUGAAAAUCUCCUUUCUUCGAAAGGCGAAUUGUAGUCUAGAGACCCGUUCUCCGUGUCGCUGCUGGCCCAAGUCCCCUGGAAAGGGGCGUCCGAGAGGGUGAGAACCCCGUGGGGCCGGUGUGUGGACACCUCACGAGGCGGCGUCGUCGAGUCGGGUUGCUUGGGAAUGCAGCCCCAAGGAGGUGGUAAAUCCCAUCUAAGGCUAAAUACCGACGGGAGACCGAUAGCGAACAAGUACCGUGAGGGAAAGAUGAAAAGCACUUUGAAAAGAGAGUUAAAAAGUACUUGAAAUUGUUGAGAGGGAAGAGAUGGGCCGCCGCGUGUGCGGCCAGGCAUACUCCCGCCCUGGUGGCGUGCUGGAUGCACUGGUUGCUGGUCAGCAUGGGUUGGUGUCGGCGGGACAAUCCCGGACGUUUGUUGUUCCGGUUCUGCCGCCGCUCCGACCGAGGCUUGCUGGGCGCUAGCAAUAGUCCCCCCGGGGAACUGCGCCCUCUAGAUGCUGGCAGAAGGCGUCUCA